UUGUUGGUAAGAAUAUGCAGGUGCAUGUUCACUGGAUGUUUCCACUGUCAUCUGUUGCUGUUGACCACUGGCUUCCUGUGAUGAAGAUGCUACUGUCUGUGGAGAAGUAUCAGCAACAACACCUUCAAUAGGGACAGCUGUUGGAGGCACAGGAGUGUACUGGGGAAUGUAGGUCCCUUGCAUAGGUGCAGCAGCAGUCAUGUACGUUCCUGUUGUGCCCAAGGAAAGGUGGUUCAUCUGUUGGGUCAGUGGGCCCAUCAUGCUUGCUGGCUGCAUUGACAUAGUGUGGUCCAUUGUUGGUG
rnacentral:lncRNA from 1 species